rnacentral:rRNA from 1 species
UACGAAGGGGGCUAGCGUUGUUCGGAAUUACUGGGCGUAAAGCGCACGUAGGCGGGUAUUUAAGUCAGGGGUGAAAUCCCAGAGCUCAACUCUGGAACUGCCUUUGAUACUGGGUACCUAGAGUAUGGAAGAGGUAAGUGGAAUUCCGAGUGUAGAGGUGAAAAUUCGUAGAUAUUCGGAGGAACACCAGUGGCGAAGGCGGCUUAACUGGUCCAUUACUGACGCUGAGGUGCGAAAGCGUGGGGAGCAAACAGGAUUA